GAAACACCACUAUCUUCCAAGUUCCUAAAGUUUCAAUGAUGUUCACAGCCAUGUGAUCACAAAGUAGAUAAGUUCAUUCUCAAUUCUCAUGUUUUCCAUGCUUGUACAUGGAUUUUUAGUUGUUAGAGAUAAGAAUCGUGUGGAAGAAAAACAUUAGUAAUUAGGUAGAUGUGCAGCAAUUUAUGAAGCCCCCAUUUUUUUCCCCUUUAAUGUCCUUGAAGAAUUCAGUCCAAAACAUCACUUGAUUAUUCCAUAUUUUCCACUCACAAGCAUUUGCUAACUCCUAAAAACGGCAUCAAUCUUGUGGAUAUUGAUCAUCAUCAAUGGCCUACUAUAACUCAAGCUAUUACCAGAGUAAUAAUGAUCUCGGUGAGUACCAUCAAAUUCAAAACUCUUAUGGUGCUUUUUCUAAUAAUUCAUUAGACUCGGUAGCUAAUUACUCUUCUUAUAACAAAGAUCCAAGCAUCUAUAACCUCUUUGACUAUGAUCCAACUCCUUAUUAUCAUGCCUACAAUCGUUCCUAUGAUCAAUAUACUCCAAGCUGGUCAACCACUUGUUACUCUACCUUCACCCGCACUGAGUCCAAAUCGAUCGUGUAUGAGCCGAAUUCUUGCCAUGUGAUCAGUUAUGAUCAGAAACCUCGGACACAAUUUGUAACAUCUUACUCUGUCUCUGCAUUCAACGUUCCUGAUUUUGAUGACUACGAUCCAACCCCUUAUGAUGGUGGCUAUGACAUUGCGCAAACCUACGGGAAGCCACUUCCACCGACGGAUCAAAUCUGUUAUCCUCGUUCAACGGCGGAGAUCACAAACGUCCUGACUUCCGACGACAAGGAUAAAGAGAGAGAGAAGGCUCACGAUGAUCAUGAGAGUCAAGCAGAGAAGACCAAGAAGGAGAGCAAACCGGAGGAGACGGUUAAGGAGGAGGAGGAAGAAGAAGAAGAAGAAGAAGAAGCGAAGAAGGAAUUAGGCCAUGAAGAAAAUGGUACUAAUUAUAAGGAAAGAACAGAAGAAGUUGGUGGUGGAAAUGGAUAUGAAUAUGGGAAUCAGGUGAGUCAAAUUCCAAGCGGAUAUGGAUUGGAAGCGAUGGACCUUUGUGAGAGCAUUUUUGGGUAUUGGCCUUGCUUUGCUCGUUAUGCAAGGAGAGCAAAUAAUGGUAAUUGUCAUGAAGGAGAAUAUGGUUGUGGCUAUGGUUAUGGUUAUGGUUAUAAUUACCAUUGGAAUGGAGCUGCUGAAUAUCUUUUUGGAAGUUCAGAUCCGUAUGUGGAGAGAAGAGAUGGUGGAGGGAGUUUUGGUCAGCCAGUUCAUUGUUACCAAAGGCAUUAUCAAGCCCAGCCUAUUACUAGGCAGGAUCAGUAUGAUCACGAGGAACAUUCAUGGUCUCAGAAUUUCAACAUAUUCUGACGAAUGAGAAUCUCUAAUAAGGCUGCAGGAUAUAAAAAAAGGGGUCCCUGUACGGUAGGAGUUUUCACCGAUAAUGGAUAAUGAUCGGCAGACAAAUUCAGCAAAUGGGUCAUUAUGAUUAUUGAUCAAAUGGAAGCAUCAGUCGUCAAAGACAAUAAUGUCACUCACCAGUCACCAACAAGUUAGAUCCAAUGCUAAUCACUCGAUUAUGCUGGCUGUCGCAUCAACAUCAUAUUGAGGGGAUGCUUAGUUGAAGGAUUCAAACCAUGAUUUGAAUCAUGGUUCAUAGUUCGUAUUUUCUCUCA